AUACCCGCAGCCCAAGUGGUGGUCGAUUUUAUUGAGUCUAAAACGUUCGUAGCCGGUUCAUUAAAUCCUUGGGUAAAGCGGAUGGCUUAACUAUCCGAAUUCCGGGGAGACUGGUGAACUUGGGACCGGGAGAGGCAAGAGGUACUUUUGGGGUAGGGGUAAAAUCCUGUAAUCCUAAAAGGACCACCGGUGGCGAAGGCGUCUUGCUAGAACGGAUCCGACGGUGAGGGACGAAGCCCUGGGUCGCAAACGGGAUUAGAUACCCCGGUAGUCCAGGGUGUAAACGCUGCAGACUUGGUGUUGGGGACCCUUCGGGAGUGUUCAGUGCCGGAGAGAAGUUGUUAAGCCUGCUGCUUGGGGAGUAUGUCCGCAAGGAUGAAACUUAAAUGAAUUGGCGGGG
rnacentral:rRNA from 1 species